UGCGUAGGCGGUGCGGUAAGUCUGUUGUGAAAUCUCCGGGCUCAACUCGGAGCCUGCAACGGAAACUGCCGUGCUGGAGUAUGGGAGAGGUGAGUGGAAUUCCCGGUGUAGCGGUGAAGUGCGUAGAUAUCGGGAGGAAGACCUGUGGCGAAAGCGGCUCACUGGACCAUUACUGACGCUGAUGCACGAAAGCUAGGGGAGCAAACAGGAUUAGAUACCCUGGUAGUCCUAGCCCUAAACGAUGAUCGCUUGGUGUGACAGGUACCCAAUCCUGUUGUGCCGGAGCUAACGCGUUAAGCGAUCCGCCUGGGGAGUACGGUCGCAAGGCUGAA
rnacentral:rRNA from 1 species